GUCUCUCCUCACUCUUCUUCUCUCGAUGAACACGAAACAGAGCAUUAUUUCUCCACUCUCGAUUGUUUUCCGCCAUGAAAGGAGCUCUUAGAACUCGGAGGAUCCCACACACCCACACGCAACACCAACAGUGAAAUCUUCUCAAUCUCUCUAGCGAAAUCAAACAAGACGCAAACAACAAUGAAAAACCCUAAAUCCCAAAUCAAACCUAACCCCAAUUCAAUAUUCAAUAGUGAUUACAUUUUACCUGAUGGAAAUCGAAAAUUGCAAGAAGAAAUAGAAAAGCUACGAAUAACAGAAGAUCCUCAGUUUCAGUUUAGUGAAGUUGCAGUUCUUACAAAUGACUAUCAUUGAAGAGAAAGGCUUUGGAAAUGGAAAUGGAAAUGGAGAACAAACACUUUACAAUGAUGUUUAUCAGAUGUUCUUGAAUUUGUUGUUUACAUAAUGAAAGGAAUCCAUGGACAUUGGAUGAGGCAGUUAGUUUUUCUUCUAUGAUUUUUGGUAAAUACAAAAGGCAAUGUGGAGGGUUUGGCUGUAAGAGAAAAUCUUCCUGCUACGGAUGGUUGGCUUGCAAGUCCAACCUUGCCGGAUGAUGUGCUAAAUAAGGUCGUACCGGGCAAUAUUCGUCAGGCUAAGCACUUUAUGCAGGUUUUGCAUAGCUUACUUUUGUACCUUGAGUGGUGCUAUUUCUGACGAGAGAAAGCCUGAUAUUUCUGAUUUUGUAUUGCAGAUUGAAAGAUGUUAUAAUAGUCAUUCGUGCCGAUGAGGCUCACCAUCGAGAUGUUAACCAUUUUGCUUCGAUGAGUGUUCUUUCUCACUUGUCUAAUGAAAACAAAUUCUCCAUAAAACUUUACUUGUUCAAGUCCAUCCACCAACUUAUCAUCUUAAGCUUGUGUUUACGGUAUAUUUAUUUUUGUGAUUCUUUCAUGUUAUCCUCUUGAAAUUGUAAACACAUACUGAAUCUUUUUUUCUGUGAAAAACAAAACAUGAAUCCUGUACAAUUUAGGAUUGAUGUAAGGUAGUAUGAAUACACAGAAUAAUAAUCUGAUAGAAACCAUACUGCCUUCCACCCAUUUCCUGAUAUGUACUGCCUAGAUUUUCAAAGUGUAGGCUAUGUCGCUAAAGACUGUACAAAGAGCUAAAGAAGCAUAUGACUAACAUAAAGCAUGCAUUUGUUGGCAAACAUAGUCAAAUAGACAGAAAUCAAUAUACAUUUAAUUGUUCACUUUACCCAUAUAAUGAAUUAUAGUGGUUGGUUCUACCACCACUAUGCUUUGAUCCAACCACCACUAUGCUUCUUGUGAUGAAUGAAUUAAUUUACUUGG